rnacentral:lncRNA from 1 species
UUAUGUAUGGAUAAAGAAAGGUACUAACUCUGAAGGACCCAAAGUCAUUUGGCUACCUAACAAAACCUAAUUUUUUUGGUAGGUUUGCUUGAAGACCACUACCAACCUUUAGUAUCUUGAUAGUGGGUACUCCAAGCAUAUGACGGGAGAUAUUAACAAAUUUUCAAAUCUAGCAUUAAAGGCCAAGGGUUAUAUCACUUAUGGAGAUAACAAC